CAGCCGCCGCGGUAAUACGAAGGGGGCUAGCGUUGCUCGGAAUUACUGGGCGUAAAGGGAGCGUAGGCGGAUGUUUAAGUCAGGGGUGAGAUCCCGGGGCUCAACCUCGGAACUGCCUUUGAUACUGGAAGUCUUGAGUGUGGAAGAGGUAAGUGGAACUGCGAGUGUAGAGGUGAAAUUCGUAGAUAUUCGCAGGAACACCAGUGGCGAAGGCGGCUUACUGGUCCACAACUGACGCUGAGGUGCGAAAGCGUGGGGAGCAAACAGGAUUAGAUACCCCUGUAGUCCCUGUCUCUUAUAC
rnacentral:rRNA from 1 species